GAGGAGGAAGGAGGGAGGAGGCAGGGUAACAGAGAGAAGGGGGAUGGGGAAGGACCUGCUCUUGCACUUAGAGACGGAUGGAUGGGAGUCUACCUAAUGGCUGUAAUCCGUGUCCUCAAACUGAAUCUCUGGGCUCACAGGGGUUUAGCCUCAGGGGCUUCUCAACAACAAUCUUUACUUUGGAUUUCCACCCAAGAUUUCCCCAGAGUCAUCAAAGUCCAGAAGUAGGACAAAAGUCAAGGUGACUGGAGAUGGCCCAGGAUGCAGUGGAUGGCCCUAGAAUCUUUGAUACCUGUCCAAACUCUAAGCACUCCACAGCCCCUGUUUCAGCUUCCCUGUGGCUCCCUGCCUUGUCACGGUGAAGGGACUUGCAAGGCUUAAUGAAACUAUAAAGCGUUCCAACAAAAGGUGAUCCACUGGAGAAGGAAAUAGCAACCCUUUCUUUGCCAAGAAAACCUCAUUAUGUGGUACCAAAGUGAUAGAAGAGAUAAUGUUGAAAGAUGAGCCCCUCAGAUCAGAAGGUAUCGGUACUCUACUGGGGAAGAAUAGAGAAAAAUUACAAAUAACUCCAUUACUAAAAGAAGAGGCUGGAUUACGAAUUCAUCUGGUGACAAAACUAAAGUCCGAAGACAUAAAGAUCAAUAAUGCACAGGAACCUGAAAUGUAAGAUCUGUGAACCAAGGUCAGCUGGAUGUGGUCAAACAGGAUUGGGAAGAUAAGACAUUAACAUCAUGAGUGUCAGUGAACUUAAAUGGAUGGAAAUGGAUGAAUUUAAUUCAGGAGUUUAUUACAUAUACUAUUGUGGGCAAAAAUCUUUUAGAAGAAAUGGAGUAGACCUCAUAAUCAAUAAGAAGGUGAGAAAAAAAAGCAGUAUGGGGGAAUAAUCUCAAAAAUGAAAGAAUAAUACCAAGACAAACUAUUCAAUAUUACAGUAAUGCAAGUCAAUGCUCUAACUACUAAUGCCAAAGAAGCCAGAGUUGAACAGUUCUAUGAGGAUCUAUGUCUAGAAAUAAUACCCCCCAAAUGUCACAUCCAUCUUAGGGGAUUGUAAUACUAAAAUGGAAAAUCCAAAAAUAAUUGAAAUAAGUCAGGUUUGGCCUUAGAGCACAAAAUGAAGUAGGGAAGCGACUAACAGAGUUUUGUUAAGAUAACUUGCUGGUCAUAGCACUCUUUUUCUACAACCCAAAUAGUGACUUUACACAUGGACAUCACCAGAUAAUCAAUAUGGAAUUCAGAUUAAUUAUGUACUUUGCAGCUAAAGGUGGAAAAACUCUAUACAGUCAAACAGUUAAAACAAGACCUGGAGCUAACUAUGGUUCAGAUCAUGAACUUCCUUCCCUCUUACCCCUUCACCCCCUCACCCCUGGGUCUUUUUAAGUAAAUAAUGUUACUUUUCUCCAAUUUCAUGUAAAGAUAAUUUUCAACAUUUUAAAAUGAGAUUUUGAGUUCCAAAUUUUUCUCUCUCCCUUCUAUCCUCUCCCUCCCCAAGACGGCAAGCAAUCUGAAAUAGGUUAUACAUGUACACGUGUUACACAUAUUUCCACAUUAAUCAUGUUAAGAAAAAAUAAAUAGAACAAGAGGAAAAAGCCACAAAACCCUCUGAAAAUAGUAUGCUUUUAUUUGCAUUCAGAUCCCAUAGUUCUUUCUCUGUAUGUGAAUAGCAUUUUCUGUCAUGAGUCUUUUGGAAUUAUCUUGGAUCAUUAUAUUUCUGAGAAGAGCUAAGUCAAUCAUAAUUGAUCAUCUCACCAUGUUAUUGUUUCUGUGUACAAUCUUCUGUUUCUGCUCACUUCUCUCAGCAUCAGUUCAUGUUCAGAUAAGAUUCUUAUUGCAAAAUUCAGACUUAAAUUGAAGAAAAAAGUAGGGAAAACCCUACUUACAAACCAUAUAAGUAUGACUUAUCUUACUUACUUACUUAAAGACCAUAUAGGUAUGACCUAAAUAGCAUCUUUUAUGAAUAUGAAAUAGAGAUGAUUAGUUGGUUGGUUGGUUAUUGUUCUUCAUUCUCAAAGAGGACCAAAAUGACAUUACUGUGUUAGAAUCAAGUUUCAGUGUGUCCAAUUGUGACUGACCAGACCAAUAUGAGCUCCGAAUGCUCUGCCACAAGUUGGGCACAAAUAGUCCAUAUGAAAAUUUGGGGUGAAUUCUCUAACUCUGUGCAUCUCGGGUUUCUUCUGAGCUAAUUCAGUUCUGUUUUGUUCAAAGAGCACCUUCUUUGAUGAGGGCACACCAUGCUGGGUGAUCCUGCACCAGUGUUUCUCAUGUCUUGCAAUCAGUUCUAAGGUUCUUAAGAGGGGUAAAAUAGAUUUAAGGGAUUAGAUCUGGUAGAUAAGUGCCUGAAGAACUAUGGGUAGAAGUUCACUAUGUAGUAACAAAAAAAUAUUCCAAAGGAAAAGGAGAGCAAGAAAGCAAAAUGACUGUCUGAUGAGACUUUACAUCCUGCUGAGGAAAGAAGGAAAGUGAAGGGUAAAGGAGAAAAAGGAAAAUAUACCCAAAUGAAUGCAGAAUUCCAGAGAAUAGCAAGAAGAGAUAAAAGGAUUUCUUAAAUGAAUAAUGCAAAGAGAAGAAAACAGUAAAAUGGGAAAGAUAAGAUCCCUUAAAGAAGACUAGAGAUAUCAAGAGAAGGUUUUAUGCAAAAAUGGGUAUGAUAAAAGACAAAAAUAGUAGAGGCUUAAUAAAAGUAGGAGAAAGAAGAGGAGGCAAGAAUACACAAAAUAACAAUAUGAGAAAGAUUUUAACAUCAAUAAUAAUUAGCAUAGUUUGAUUACUGAUUUAAAGCCAGAUAUUCUGGAAAAUAAAGUCAAGUGAAAGUGACAGAAUUACAGUUGAGCUAUUUUAAAAUCCUAAAAGAUGGUGCUAUUAAAGUGCUACACUUAAUAUACCAGAAAAAGUGGAAAAUUCAAUAGUGGCUAUUGGAUUAAAAAACACGAGUUUACUGCCCCAGCCCAGUCCUUAAGGAGGAAAAUGCCAAGGAAUGUUUAAAUUGCCAAACGAUUGUGCUCAUUUUACAUUCCAGUAAGGUUAUGCUUAAGAUUCUGCAAGCUUUUUUCAGCAAUAGAUGAACCAAGAAUUACCCACAGGCAGAGGAACUAGAGACCAGGUUGCCAACAUUAGAUUAUGAGAAAGCAAGGGAAUUUUAGAAAAACAUCUUCUGCUUCACUGACUAUACUAAAACUUUUGACUGUGUGGAUCAUAGUCAAAUAUGAUAAGUCUUCAAAGAGGUGGAAGUACUAGCUCAUCUUGUCUCCCGAAGAACCUGUAAGAGAGAUAAGAAACAAUUAGAACCAAAUUGGAACAAAUGAUUGGUUAAAGGUGAAAAAGGAGUAAGGCAAGACUGUAUGUUGUCACCUUAUUUAUUUAACUUAUAUGCAGAGUACACCAUGUGAAAUAUCAGGCUGUAUCAAUCAAGAAUUGAAAUUAAGGUUGCUGGGAGAAAUAUCAACAAUCUUAGAUAUGUAAAUGGUAUCACUCUCAUAACAGAAAGUGAAGAGAAAUUAAUAAAAGGCUCUUGAUAAAGGUGAAAAAGGAGAGUAUAAAUAAAAAGUGGCUUGAAACAACAUAAAACGAAAAUCUUGACAACUGGUCUCAUCGCUUUCUGGCAAAUAGAGGGAGAAGAAAUGGAAAGAGUGUCAGAUUUUAUAUUCUUUGGCCCAAAGAUCUCUGCAGAUGGUGACUGCAGCUAUGAAACUGAAAGACAUUUGUUCCUUAAAAAAACAGCUUUGGUAAUUUUGGACAGCAGACUAAAAAAAGCAAAGACGUCAACUUGCUGACAAAGGUCUGUGUGCUCAAAGCUAUGGUUUUUCCAGUAGCAAUGCAUGGUUGUGAGAAUUGGACUAUAAGGAAAACUUAAUAUCUCAGAAUUGAUGCUUUUGAAUUGUGGUGCUGAAGAAGACUUUUGAGAGUCCGUUGGACAGCAAGGAGAUCAAAUCAGUCGAUACUUAAAAGAAAUUAAUUCAGGGUAUUCACUGAAAGAUCAAAUACUGAAGCUGAAGCUUAAAUACUUUGGCCACAUAAUGAGAAGACAGAAUUCAUCGGGAAACACUCUGAAGAUUGAAGGCAAAAAGACAAGCAGAUGAGAUUAUUAUAAUUACUAUUAUAGUCAUUAGAGGAUGAGAUGAAUAAACGGUUUUGUGGAAACAAUGAACGUGGGCAGAUUUGGGAGAUUAGGGGCCUGGUGUGCAGUAGUUCAUUGUCACAAAGAGUUGGACAUGAUUAAAAACCAACAACCACCAUCAACAACAAUUCAGAGGCUUGUUUUUUUGUUUAAAGCUUCCCAAAGACUUCCUUGACGCCAGGCCCAAUAAUUCAUCCAGUGUGCUCUGACUUCAGGACUAUUAUACUAACUAGCUGUUCCUAUUUAUAGUUUCUUUAACAUUUAUAUUAUAUAGAAUAUUUAUAAUUUCUUUAAAUUGGUGGAUAUUAGAGGGAUAGGGAAAGAAUCAUGGUUGAGAGACUUGGAGAGAAUUACUACAAGGACUAAGUUGUAGUUCUCUGGAAGGGAAGCCCCAAAAUCUUCAAAAUUUUCAAAUCCUCAAAUCUUCAAAAACUGGGGCCCAGAGAGGUUAUUUGACAUACCCAAAUUCACACAACUAGGGCUUCAGGGUUGUGGAACCAAGCUGGGGAAGGCUCACUCUUUAGUGACUCCUAAAAUAUUUUCACUAUCCUUUUUAAGAUAUAGGGCAGGUGUGCAUCCCAUGAUAUAUUCUCUUGGGAAGUCUAUUGGUGGGAGACCUCGUGCUUAUUUCCCAGAGAAGAAAAUCUUAGACAGAUUUUCAGAUCAUGUUUUAAAAUGUAGUGCAGUACAUAGGUAGUGCAUGUGCUUUACAAAUAUUGCUCCAUUUUAUUGUCUCAAAAACCUGAGUUGUAGUGGGCUAGCUAAGUGUAGACUGGAAGAGCUCAGAAAUGAUAUAUCGCCUUUUUUCUGAGCUACUUUGCUCAGUCACUUCAAUCAAGAGCAGAUGAGCUUUUCAACAGCAGAACGACAGGCAAAUUAGGUGAUAAAGAGAGAAUGUUUAUUAAGUACUCAUUUCCUAUGCCAGCCAUUGGUGCUUAGCUUUGGGAAUGGAAAAUAUAACUUUUGCUGGUCUCUAUUCUCAAGUACAUUACAUUUUAAAAUUCCUCCUCUCCAGCAGUUUAUAUUCUAAUGUUGCUCACUUGUUUCAGACUCUUUGGGUUCCUAUUUUAGGGUUUUCUUAACAAAGAUACUGGAUUGGGCUGCCAUUUUCUUUUCUAUUUCAUUUGAUAGAUGAGGAAAUUGAGGGAAACAGAGUUAAGCAACUUGGCCAGAGUCACACACCUAACAAAUGUCUGAGACUGAAUUUGAACUCAUGAAGAUGAGUUUUCAUGAUUCCAAGCUCUGAGCUCUAUCUACUGGGCCCAUCCAGCUCUCCCUAUAUUUUAAUAAAGUUGGAAAGAGACAGGGCAGGAUGCAAGGCAACUGGUGGGGAAGUAGAGCAGGUCAGUGAUUCCUCAAUCUGGAGAUUUCUCCUCAAGGAAGAGUCAUCAUGAGGAAGGUAAGGCAUCUGUAAGGAGGCAGAAGUCAGGAAGAUGAAUUCAAAUCCUGCCAGAGACAUUUGCUAGAACAGUGACUGUAAGCAGAUCACUUAAAUUCUGGCUUAUCUGUAAAAUGUGCAUAAACACUGUUGUGAGAAUCAGCUUAAAAAACAUGAGAAAAUGCUUUACAAACCUUUAGGUGCUAUUAAAUGCUAGCUAUGCUUAUUAAGGUGAUGAUGGAAAUGGAAAGAAAGAAUAUUUUGUGUAACUAUAAUGACCAAGAUUGGUCCUAAAAAUGAGAUGAGGGGGAUUCCUGGGCAAGUUACUUAACCAGGUAGUCUCCACCCCUCUUCCUUCCCCUCCCCUAAAAGAGAUGAAAAAAUGUACUUCUUUCUUGUCUUUGAAGAGAUGGGGGACUAGGAGUGUGGCGUAUUACAUAUAUUAUUAGUCUUGGUUGAUUUGUUGGUUUUUACCAAAUUGCUUUCUUUUUUGGAGAGUUCCUUUUAGAUCUUUCAUUAUUUAAGAAUGGCACCCAGAAAAUUCUUAUUAUUUUUAAUUCAGCUAUUUUUCUGGACUUCAUCAUCUCCAGAAACUCAUAAUUCUGCAGGAUAAAAUCAACUCAGAAACUCAUACCCCUUCAGAUCAUAUCCUACCAGACUGCAAAACCUGUCUCCCCUUUUCAGCUUUUUUAUGUGUUUUUCCCUAUAGGUUGUGAACACUUUGAGGAAGGAAUGUUUUAUGUCUUUCUUCAUAUCCCCAAUAAUUAGCACAUAGCUUGGCACAUAGUAGCCAUUUAAAUAUUUAUUGUCUCUUACUCUGAAUGUUUCUUUUAUUUUUCUCUUUAUUUUAAGGAUUGACUCUGAAGGAACUAAGCAGUAUGAGAUAUGUAAUAAACUGUGGCUAUUCCACUAGUCAAAAUAGUCGCUCCAAGGUCAAAGUAUUCUGUGGAUUCACAUUCAUAUAAAGCAAAUUGCUUAUGAGCUCCCACGGUAAUAUUUAUUUCUUCUCUGGGUAGUCAAAGGACACAUUAGCUAAAAGCAAAGGCAUUUAAUAAAAUAUUGUACUUUCAAUAGAACACUCCUAUCCAUAAAUAUGGAGUAUACUCUGCCACAGAAUUACACACCAUUAAUGAGAAGGAGCAUACAUAGGGAUCAUGUAUGAGAAGUCUACAUGUGGGGAAUAUAUACAAGGGAACAGUGGCUAUAUCCUUCUACUGAGUCUCUGCUGGAUUUGCUCUUUUUUUUAGUCAUGUUGUUCCUGUGGUUUUUACAGGUCUCAAUCUCACCUUGAUGGGAAUUCUUAACCUGGGUCCAUAGAACUCCAAAGAGUCCAUGGUUAAAUGUUAAGUAGGAAGUGGGAAAAAAUCUUUAUUUCUGAUAUUUUUUAUUUUCUUUGUAAUCCUAUGAAUUUUGUUUUGUGCAUUAAAAACAUUCUGAAAGAGGUCUAUAGAUUUCAUCAGAUUGUUAAAUGAAUUUCUAUAACCCAAAUAAGUUGACUCCCAGAUUUAAAGCUGGUCCAGCCAUCUCAGAUUCAGUAUAUUAAUGUUUUUUUGGUGGUUGAGUUGUUUCAGUCAUAACUAGUUUUCUGUGACCCCAUCUGUAAUAGUUUGCCAUUUCCUUCUCUAGCUCGUUUGAUAGAUGAAUAAACUGAGGCAAACAGGGUUAAGUUGCUUAGGGUUACACAGCUACUAAAUGUCUGAGAUGGGAUUUGAAUUCAGGUCUUCUUGACGCCAAGCCCAAUAAUUCAUCCAGUGUGCCCUGAUUUCAGGGCUACUAUACCAACUAGCUGUUCCUAUUUAUAAUUUCUUUAAUAUUUAUAUUAUAUGUAAUAUUUAUAAUCUCUUUAAAGUGGUGGAUACUAGAGGGAUAGGGAAAGAAUUGAGAGACUUGGAGAGAAGAACUACAAGGACUAAGUUGUAGUUCUCUGGAGGGGAAGCCUCCAAAUCUUCAAGGUCUCUUCCAGGGAACCAUUUGAUUCCAGGAAAGGAAGAUUUACAUGGCUAAAAAGGUGACAGUAUUUGGGUACAGAGUAAGAGCAAUAAGCAAGCAGAGAAUGGAUCAUAGGAUCAUAAAUGUAGAGAUAUGUAAUACAGACCCCUCAUCUUAUAAAUGAAAAAAACUGGGACCCAGAGAGGUUACUUGAUAUACCCAAAUUUACACAUCUAGGGUUUCAGGGUUGUGGGACCAAGCUGGGGAAGGCUCACUCUUUAGUGACUCCUAAAACAUCUUCACUACCCUAGGAUGGUUCAUAGGGAAAAUGAAAGUUCCUGCUUAUGGGAUGAACUUUCUGUUUUGCAUUUUGGUAAACUUAAUUUAAGCCUGUGUCAUAUCUGAUAUAUUGUUAGCCUGAGUACUUACAUGGAAGCUGAAGGCCCUUUAAACUUGUAGAGACCUAGACACAAGUCAAAUUUGGAUUUUGUCCAAAGGAAAUGAAGGGUGCAUGUGCUUCUUCUGCUUAUAGAGACAUAUGGUUUAAUUAGAGAUGCCUUAGAAAUAUACAGGGUUUCUUCCAGGGAACCAAGUCUGAGCAUCUGUACUUCUUUUCUUUGAAUCUCUCAGUACUGAUUUUCUCCCCCGUUCUUUUUUCUUUCUUUCUUUCUUUUUGAAAGCUAUUUUUCCCCAUUUAAAAAUUAAUAAAUGUUAUUUUAACUUCCACCAACAGAUAAAUACAUUCAGACAUAUAAAUAAAAACAAAAUAAGGUGUACAAGUUAUAAAAACCUCCCACUAUAAUUCAAUUAAGUUUGUUCAGAAAUUAUUAGAUGUCCAUUAAGUGAAAGGUAUUGUGCUAGGCAAAGACAAAAGAAAAAAACUCCCUAUUUUCAAAGAGCUUAAAUUCUAUGUACAGCUACAUUUCUUUACAUAGGAUAUAGAGUAUUUCAGAUAAACAAGGUUAGAAUAAUUUGGAGAUAAAGGAAGUACUAAUAAAUUUCCAAAUAAAACGAGUCAUAGGUUAGAUAAAAUAGGCAAAAAUCUCCAAACUUUGAAAACAAAACAAAGUCAACUUUAAAAAGAAGGAAAAGAAGAUGUGCUAAUUUUGCUAUUUGUUGAUUGAUGAAAGCAACACAGAUCUAUUUGUGUUUCUUUUUAAAGAUAUUUUUUCCAAAUAAAAUUUUAAGACAACACAAAAAUGUCAGCUAUAAUCUUCAUUACUAAUAAAUAGAAAUACAAAACCCAGCUAGGUAGGAAAAUCAAUCAUUCAAUCAAUCAGCAAGUAUUUAUUAAGCAUUUCAUUUGUGCCAAGUGCUGGGAAUGCAUAAGAAAUAAAAACAGUCCCUGACCUCAAAUAGCCUGCAUUCUAAUACACAUAAAUAGAGAUGCACAAUAUAUAUUCAUAUUAGAUGCAGGGAAGUGCUCAAGCAAGCUCAGUUAGAAGUUGAUUGUAUAUUUUUCAUCAUGAGCUUUUACACCUUAGAAAAUGGUAAAUCUCACAAAUCAAUAACUUGAUUUAUUAUUUUGUUCAAAGUUUAGACUUAAGAAAAUAAUGGAGAAAAUGUUAAUAAUAUAGAUAAAGCUUGAAACUGUAAAUUAUACAUAUUUACCCCAUCGCACCCCAGCCAGUUGUUAGACAUUUACCAGUGUCUAGAAGGUAACCUUAGUGGGGAAAGCACCAUGAAAGAUCUUCUUAUAAAAAGGUAAUUAACUAUUUUAAUUUUAAUUAUUUAAGAGCCAAAAGUGAGGAUCAUUUCUGGAAAGAAGGACAACCAGUGUAAAGGCAAGGAGGAUACAUUGUGAAUGAGGAACAGAUAAAUACACAAGUAUCACGGAACUUCAGAGGGCAUGGGUAAGAAUGGAGGAAUAGAAAAAGGCCAUAUUGUGAAACACUGGCAAUGCGAAAUAGAGAAGUCUGUUUUUGAUCUUAGCCCUGAUCAGGAGUCACUAGAGUUUAUUGAGAAAGAGAGAAAUACCUAAAUAGAAUGAGGAUAGGAUAGAAAAAGCAAACUAUGUGAAUUAACUUUAUUUUUUAAUUUCCUUUUUGUUAUUAUUAUUUUGACAGAUGUCCACAAAUAUAAACAUUUCUAUAUACAAAGAAAAUAAAAAGGGAAAUAAAUAUAUGUAGAGAUUGAUUACCUCCAUUCUGUGAGAGGUCUCUUGUAAUAAGGUAAAACAAAAAAAUAAAAAUAAAAAAAAUAAAAAAAAAACAAAAAAAAAUAAAAAUAAAAAAACAAAAAAAAUAAAAUAAAAAAAUAAGGCAAAACAAUUAAGUAAGUAUUUGAAAUUGAAUCUCCAUCAUUUAUGUACAGU
rnacentral:lncRNA from 1 species